CUCGGCCUUUUGGCUAAGAUCAAGUGUAGUAUCUGUUCUUAUCAGUUUAAUAUCUGAUACGUCCUCGAUGAGAGGACUUUAUAUUAAACGGAUUUUUGGCCGUGGGAGUUGGAUCCGGAGCUUGCUCCCUCCGCUCCGCGCAUCGUCCUGGUAUUGCAGUGCCUCCAGGCACGGUGCACCCCCGCACGGGGACCUUUGGUGGUUAACGACAGACGUGAAGCAGCUGAGGCGCCUCGGCCCGCCCGUGAGGGGCAGGAUCUGCCUGCGCAGGGGCUGCGCUCGGGGCUUGGCCUCUCUGCUGCUCUCCACAGGCACAGAGGAACUGUCGCUGCUGGGACGCAGAGCACAGCAGGGCUCAGACAGCUCCGCCAGCGCCCCGAGCCCCGCGGAGCCUGCUCGGCACAGGCUGUCUCUCGCAGGUUGCCUCUCCCCAGGGCGCGCUCCGAGCAGCGAUGCUUUGGGCAGGCAGAGAGCAGAGAAGCACCGAGCCAGAGGCGGCGCAGGGCGCAGGGAGGCUGCGCACAGCAGCUCAGCCUCUGCUCCCCGCAGCGCAGAGCAGCAGCAGAGGUGAGAGGAACCUGAGCGAGGGCAGAACGAGGGGAGCGGAGCAGCGGAGCAGGGCAGAAACGGCCUCUGGCUGCGCAGCUGCGGCGCAGAGGACUGGAUUAUCGGACGCCCGCGUAAUGUGUAUGUCCCGGUGGCAGAAGAGGACAACAAGUCAGCAAGCAUUCUACCCGUGCCCGAGGGUGUCGCAACAAUGAAAUCCAAGCAACGGCAAGAUAGCCCCCAGAGGGGGUGGCUGCGAUGUUUUUGUGUGAUCUUGAUUUUAGGGCUUGUCACCAUAGGACAGGCAGAAUCAGAGCACCAUCCCCAUCGGCCAUUCAGGUGGGUCCUACGAAACCCUGCAGAUGGUAAAAUAAUAAAGGAAAACACAACAGCAGGUGCCCCGACCUUUACGACAACAAUUGGUGACCUAUUCCCCCAGGUAGGAGGACCCAACUCUAAAUCAUUAUGGGGAACAUAUUGGUGCCCCAGUUCGAACCCAGGAAAGAGUUAUUGUGACUAUCCAGGAUACUGGUUUUGUGGCUACUGGGGAUGCGAGACCAUUGUAACAAGUGAUAGAUGGAAACCAGAAAAAGAGGAUGACUUUUUACGGGUAAGAUGGGGACCAGAUGGGUGCGUCAAUCCAAAAUUCGCGAGCGAUGGAAUGGUAGCUUCUAAAGGUACUUGUAAACAUUUGUAUUUAGAAAUCCUACACCCGACUUCUGCGGGUUGGGCUGUGGGGAAAAUGUGGUCAGUGUUUAUUCACAAAGCUUUCACAGAUCUAGGAGUGGUGAUACAAAUUAUCAGGCUCAUACCAGAAGCACCCCAAGCAAUUGGACCUAACCCGGUUAUUAACCCACAAAUAUCUACACCUUUAUUAUAUAAUACUACAAGUAAUACCGAAGUUAUCACACCUGCACCGACACACACCACCAAAAUUAUGGAACCCUAUGGAAAUCCUCUUUGGAAACUGAUGCAAGCCAGUUACCUGGUGUUAAAUAAAACAAACUCAAAUCUUACUGAACAUUGUUGGUUGUGUUAUGGGAUAAAACCACCCUUUUAUGAGGCUGUAGGAGUAAGUGACAUACCCAUACAAGUAAAUGAAUCAAAUCCAACCCAGUGCAUAUGGGACACAGAAAAGCAAGGGAUUACAUUAGCACAGAUGGUGGGAAGUGGCGUGUGUGUAGGCAAAGUCCCAAAGCACAAAGAACAACUGUGUGUUAAUAAGACAAUAUAUAAAACCCAUAAACCUCCUGCAAAGUGGUUAAUACCGGCCAAAAAUGCCAAGUGGCUUUGUUCUACUUCGGGAGUUACACCUUGUUUGUCAUUGGAAAAAAUUAAUGAAUCCUUAGAAUAUUGUGUCCAGGCAACUAUAGUCCCUAAAAUAUUUUACCAUUCCGAAGAAUUUGUCUACGACUCGCAGAGUACCCCAGAACAUCAUCUGUCAAAACGAGAACCCCGUACGGCACUAACAGUAGCUACUCUACUGACUGUAGGGCAUGUGGGAGAAGGCACAGGAGUAACCUCGCAGGUACAACAGAGCAAAGAAUUUAAAGCAUUAGGGAUGGCAGUAGACGAGGACUUGGUAGAAACUGAACAAUCAGUAACUGCGUUGGAAAAAUCCGUUAGAUCAUUAUCAGAAGUGGCACUACAAAACCCAAGGGGGUUAGAUCUAAGGAAUUUACAACGAGGGGGGCUAUGUGUAGCCCUGGGGGAGGAAUGCUGUGUGUAUGCAGACCACACUGGGAUAGUGAGGGACAAUAUGGCCCAACUGCGAGAAGGUUUGGAAAAACGGAAACAAGAGCGAGAGGCACAACAACAAAAUUGGUUUUCGUCGUGGUUUAACCAAUCACCAUGGCUGACCACCCUGAUAGCCACCUUGAUAGGGCUGAGCAUAAUAAUCAUGGUAGCAUUGACCUUUGGACCCUGUGUGCUGAAUAGGCUCGUGUCGUUUUUUUAAGAGCCGGCUAGAGAGUGUUAACAUCAUGUUGGCAGAACGCCAGCAACUGCUUUAAGAAUGUUCUUACUUGAAAUUUUCCCCUAGCUAGCCCCAGUUACACCCCCUUAUUCCCAGUUACCUCUUCUGACUGUGCCUUAUGUUUCCUAGUCAAGUUUGUGGUAUGUACAUUUUAGAUUGCUGUAAAGCACAGAAUAAGAACAGGAUAUUUGAGCUGGAUUGGUUAUGCAUUUAGCUGGAUUGGUUGUGCAUUUAGUGUGGUUUUAUUCGAGAUUACGAUCUGUAUCUUCUUUGAGACUGUUAUAUUUCAGCCAAUUCAAUUAUGCAUAGGGAGGGGGGAAAUGCAGGCAGCUAGGGUCAGGCGGCCGGAAGAUAUCGCGCUGUACGGAAAGGCAGGGACCCUCUCCCUAUAGCCAAUAGUGCCUAGCUUAUGAUGUAAGCAGACGGGGGUGACGUUGUAACCCACGCUACAUAAUCCCGCACCAGCCAUCAAUAAACGCCAUUUGCCGUCCA